GUAGGGGGCAAGCGUUAUCCGGAUUUACUGGGUGUAAAGGGUGCGUAGGUGGCAGGGCAAGUCAGAUGUGAAAGCCCGGGGCUCAACCCCGGUACUGCAUUUGAAACUGUCCAGCUGGAGUGCAGGAGAGGUAAGCGGAAUUCCUAGUGUAGCGGUGAAAUGCGUAGAUAUUAGGAGGAACACCAGUGGCGAAGGCGGCUUACUGGACUGUAACUGACGCUCAUGCACGAAAGCGUGGGUAUCG
rnacentral:rRNA from 1 species